rnacentral:rRNA from 1 species
GAUGAACGCUAGCGGCAGGCUUAAUACAUGCAAGUCGAGGGGUAACAUGGUAGCAAUACUGAUGACGACCGGCAAACGGGUGCGGAACACGUACGCAACCUUCCCAUAACAGGUGAAUAGCCUUUCGAAAGAGAGAUUAAUACACCGUAACAUAAUGAAGAGGCAUCUCUUUAUUAUUAUAGGCAGUAAUGUCGGUUUUGGUAUGGGCGUGCGCCUGAUUAGGUAGNGGUCGGGGGUAACGGGCCCACCAAGCCUGCGAUCAGUAACUGGUGUGAGAGCACGACCAGUCACACGGGC